rnacentral:lncRNA from 1 species
UGGGACUGAGUUGCCUUCCUCUUCUACUGUUGGAAGUAAGCGAAAAGUUCCUACUGCUCGUCGUAUGCGAAAGUCUGUUCCCAGUAAGUUUUUGUUUUGUAACUUACUUUUGUUUUGUUUUUUCUUUGUUUGUAGGUUCUCCCUCUUCUUCCUCCUCGGGUUCGGGUUCCUCUAGCUCAGGGUCUUCUUCAUCCAGUUCUGGGAGUUCGGGUUCCUCUUCUUAUAGUUCUUCCUCUCCCGAACGGGAUGUUGAAAUCAGGGGCACUCCUCCUUUUACCACCGGGACUCCUCUUUCCACCGCCAUUGUUUUGGCUUCUAUUCCGGAGGAUAUCCCUAUUGUUGAAGUGCCUGCCCUGGCUACGGAUGAUUCUACCCAACUUCCUCCCGAAGCCCGUGGUCAAAACAUUCACGUACUAGAGGACUCUCCUGUAGGUUAUCCUCCUGAGACAGAGGAGAAGUACCCUUUCCCGUCUCCUCUUGAGGAGAGUGGCGCCCCAUCUUUCUAUCGGGAGAUAGAUGGUUCUUGGCGUCAGUGGUCCGUCCUUAUCCGACACGGUUUCCACGUUGUCCCCAUCCUUGACCGGGGCGAGUAUGGGACUGGAUAUGGUUUCUUCUGUUCUGUCUCCCUGAACGAUAUUCCGGGCUACCCUUUGUCCUCCAAUGCGGGUAGAUGUUCCAACACCCUUUCCUUAGACGCUGCUCGGAGGAUCUUACGGGGCCUAGAGCUUAGAGAGAGAGUGUAUUGGGC